CCUACGGGGCGCAGCAGUGAGGAAUAUUGGUCAAUGGGCGAGAGCCUGAACCAGCCAAGUCGCGUGAGGGAGUACUGCCCUAUGGGUUGUAAACCUCUUUUGUCAGGGAGCAAGGUGCAGGUCGGGACCUGCUGUGAGAGUACCUGAAGAAAAAGCAUCGGCUAACUCCGUGCCAGCAGCCGCGGUAAUACGGAGGAUGCGAGCGUUAUCCGGAUUUAUUGGGUUUAAAGGGUGCGCAGGCGGAGACACAAGUCAGCGGUAAAAUCGCGGGGCUCAACCCCGCCCCGCCGUUGAAACUGAGUCCC
rnacentral:rRNA from 1 species